CUCGUGCCCACACAGCAGAUCGUUCUCCGCCGCCCUCCCAUCGAUCUGCCGCCGACCCCUGCGGAGCUUCCCUCCCCAAUCCGAUUUGACGGAGAGAGUGCCAGAUCCGGCCGGGGGAGCCGCCGUAGAGCCUCCACGUCGGUGGAGCAGCACCUCCUGCCACGGGCGCCGCCGCCACCUCUUGCCUCACGACCCUUUGCCGCGACUCCGCCCCCAAGCGCCGCUCCCGCACGCAACCUUAACCCUAUCCCGCCAUGCCUCGCUGCCUCGCCGCUUGAGCCGCGCUGAUGGAGCCCGAGCAGUGGUGGCCGACCCCGUCGCCGCCGCCGAGCCUGUGGACGAGGAGAAGGAGAAGGAGGAGGAGACGGAGGCGGCCGAGGACGAGGAGGACACGCUGCUGGACCGCGCGCAGCCUGAUCUCACGGGUCCCUUUGCACAUGUGCAGUUCGUCAAUGGACCAAUGCCUAAUCUCCCCAAGGUUGAUGUUUCACUGGACCCGGUGAAGGAGUUGAGCAGAGUAAUAUCUGAGCGAAAAAAUUGAGGGGCGUGCUUUGGUUGUGCUCUCAGCCAGGUUAUUUUACGAGGGUUGUGUGCACUGAACCCCAUUUCUCUGGACCAAGGGACGAUGAACAAGAUGGGAAUGAGGAGGAUGCUACUAAUCCGGAGUAGUAAUAUUGGAUUACAGGUCAUGGGUUAACUAAUACAUGCAUCAACUUUGUAUCAUAAAGAUUUCACCAUCCCAAGGUAAUGGAAAUAAGUUCACAAGAUUCUCAUGUUGAGGUCUGUACAAAGAGAAACAAGGCAAUGUCUGUGUGCUGGAAGGAGAAACUCACUGCCAAAGCUAUAAUCCCUGAUGCUAAAGCCUGCAUGUUCAGAUCUGCAGAGUUUACUCAUAUUACUGUAUGAAUGAUUAAUACAGAGGGAGCCCUUUUGUCAGGUCAUUUAAUCAUUAAAUCAUACGUACAUUAUCUCAGUUCCCAGUUUUGGCUCACUUUCUUGAUGCAUCUCGGAUGAGAGGAAAGGAAUGGAUAAUCUGACAAGCAAUGUUCGGGCAUACCCUUAUAUUUACGUCUGAUGAAAUGCUGCGGGUGAAAACUAAUCAAGACUGCUGCCAUGAGCAAAAGAGCAGAAAUUACUUAUGAGAAAACAAUAAAAGAAUCUUCCGUGACUACAUACCACGACGAGUCAAAGACGAUGAAAGCACUACUCCAUUGGUGGUGUUAGCAAGUGGAGUCUGGAGGGAGAACAACACAAAGUAGGAAAUUGAUUCCCUCGCCCUCGCUUGCUUCAACGACCCCGCUCGUCUUGGUGGGGUCGAUUCCCCCAUCGCCCAACUCAUCUCCGACGAGUAUGGCGUUAGUGGGUACGCCCCGCCGUUCGUAUGCUUGGCGGGUCCCAGAACACCCGUGACGUGUAUGAGCUUGACUAGGGCGAGGGGCUUGUGCUCGUGCUCGAGCUCAACAAGACGCACUUCGAUCUCGUCACCAACUACGAGCUGGACUGUGAGACUCCAGAGCAGGCGGGGGCGACGAAGACGAAAGUGGGGGCAGUUCGAGCUUGUCGCUGCCGGAGACCCUGGAGAGGUGCGCGAAGAGACCUGGUUAGAUUUGUUGGCCACCACUGGUAAACUGCACUAAUAACAAAUCGGAUGUCAUCUGUCAUGUUGCCGAUUCAACCCUGGACGAUGUUGCGCGGCCCGCGGUCAUGGACGAUGUGCUGUUGGACAACGACGCGAGGCCGAGGCAGCCAAUGUGAAUGACCACUGGAAAUCAUUUACCUUUCAAUCUUGGAAGGCCCUAAGCUGAAGGAGAGCAUCAAUUGUCAUGAGAGACAAGCAAUAUCUAUUAGGCACGCAUACUAUCAGGCUAACGCAAACCACUCGGGAAUGAAGUAUACUUACCGUAACUUUCUAUGUGUUGACUUGAGUUUUUCUGUUAGUAAAAGAAACAUGCCAUUUUUUUGCGGUUCAUGGAUUCAUGCUCAAUGUUGAAUUAUUAUCUGAUCUGCAAAAGCAUGCCUUACUGCUGCUCAUGGUCACAUGAUUUAUAAUUUAUAACUACAAUUAUUUAAAUCAGUAUCUGGCAUGAAGUCUUGACAUCUAGCUUGAUCAAAGAUUCCACUGUGUGCUUAUUUCUCCAUCAUAUUGCAUAAUGAAUAAUAUCAGUAGAUAAAUAUCUCCUUUUUAUGCAAUGAAUUUCAUGAAAUAAAACAGCGUCGAUCACUGUCUCCAACGUAAUCUUAAGUGCACAGGCAUGGCUUACUGUCACUGCUUUCUUGUAGUAUUAGUGUCGUCUUUGGCUGUUUCCUUUCUUGAAUUUUCCAAUGACAGCGUACAUGCCUAAACAUAUUCAAAGUUGUUGAUUAUUUUGUUGCAAAUAUAGUAUUUAGUAAUUUGACGUGAACCCUUGAAGGUCCAAUUAAGGCUAUUUGACUAGGAAGGUAGGUGAUAUGUGCUCAAAAGAACCUACCCCUAUUAUGCACCAGUUUUUUGCCUUAGCGUUGUUUCUGCUGUUAUGCUAUAUAUCUUGUAUUAAUUGAAUUUUGAAGAUAACGAUUAAGGAAUUCAUCUACAAUAGGAACUUACUUCCCAACAAGGAAAGUCCAGUGAUUGGGCAACAACAUGUGGAAGGAUAAUUACUGGAUACUUUUUUUAGCGAACAACUGCGGAGCGAUUUGCUGUCUCAAAACAUGAGACACAAUGAGGUGAAAGAGAUGUGAUGGACAUAGAAGAGUAAACCCAUGAGGACAAAGAGAUGUGAUGCACAUAGAAGGAGGAAGCAAGGACCUCGAUCCACAUUAUUGAAGACAUAGAUAAGAACAAGAGUAU